AUGGAAGGGUGGACAGCGGCGUCGAGAGAAAGUGCAGGGACUAGAUCUUCCAUGUUGGACAGGGGCUGCAUCACCGCCAUCCGUAUAUUUGAUUACAACUCAGCGGUCCGAGUACGCACAGCCAAAAAUAAGUUAUUUACAUAUUCUCCAUCCGUAUAUGAAGUUGCUAUAGCUUGGGGACUUCAUUGGGUGACUCGAUUCGUUCUUGAUUAUUGGUUGAUUCAUGAAUAA